CACGUAGGGUGCGAGCGUUGUCCGGAAUUAUUGGGCGUAAAGAGCUCGUAGGCGGUGUGUCGCGUCGGCCGUGAAAACCUGCAGCUUAACUGUGGGCUUGCGGUCGAUACGGGCAUCACUGGAGUUCGGCAGGGGAGACUGGAAUUCCUGGUGUAGCGGUGAAAUGCGUAGAUAUCUGGAGGAACACCGGUGGCGAAGGCGGCAUCCUGGACCGGUAUUGACACUGAGGCGCGAAAGCCAGGGGAGCAAACGGG
rnacentral:rRNA from 1 species